rnacentral:lncRNA from 1 species
AAACAACCCCUUAGUCUGUGGUAGGUCAUCUUAUUAGUAAUAUAUAGGUACGUGGUGUUAGAAAAUUGCGUACGGUAAAAACGCAGCGGAAAAAGAAAUCAAACAAAUUUGAUUUUAAAACUCUCGAGAUCUAAUCUCAAAACCACGCAAUUAGGAUCCCUCAUGUUCUUUAAGAUUAAAGGAGAAAAGUAAGAUCGAAUCAUUACCUUUUUCGCGGAUAAAUCCUUCCCUCAAUUUGAUGAUCGUGGAAUCGGGUUCUCUUGAAGCCGCACACGCGUCCGGCCUCUAUAGGUAUCCACACGAGGUUCUUGAUUUGAUCGAUGUCCUCACCGGGAUGCUAGCUCCCUUGCAAAAGGACGUCUUUGUUGCUAGAAGAUGGAAGAGAGAAGAGAGGAUAGAUGACGGCUUCUGUUUUCUCAAAACUCCCGUAUAUUAUAUAUAGGAAUAUAAUCCUAUUCCUAAUAAUAUAAUGACAAUUAAGGAUAAAUAUAAAUCUAGAUUUAAAUUUAUCUUUUCCUUAAUUGGUUAGAUCGAUCAAAUCCUAAUUUGAUUCGACUUGAAUUUUAUAUUAAUUUGAUCUUAUCAAAUUAAUAAUGCAACAUUUGCACAUAAGUCCUCUUAUAAUUUACUAACUAUUAGUACGUCCUCUCUAGUAACAUUUACACUUUAAUACCACUAAUUUGUAACAAUUACAAAUUAGUUCAAUUAUCAACAUAUUGACAAUUAGGUCCUCCGACGAUUCAAUAAUCGCAAUCUAGCUAUCCGAUCAAUCACAACCUCUUAUGUGUGUGACCCCAUAGGUUCUAUUCUAUCUGGUAGUGAGAUAUAUUUUGAUCACUAUCAACAAUAUCACUGAAACUCCUUUCAGUGGAUCGGAACAAUUCCAACUCAGCCCAAUGAGAAUUAUCGAUCAUCUAGAUAAUUCUCAUGAGUCUCACAAUCCACCAGUGACGCCUAGCAGCAUGUAGUGGCAUUCCAGUAGAAUGGAAUACUGAACCUCUUGGUGCAGUUACCGUGUGAUACAAUCCUUCUAUCAUGAGUCCCGACUAGACGGAGGUUAUGGAAUAACUCGUCAAACCCCAUCGUCUGUCAUAUGUUAAAUUUAUUCGACUCGAGUUUCUAAUAUCGGAAACCCUUUUCCGCUAUUUAUUCUGCCCUGGCCAAGGUCUUCUAAACUCGGUCUCAUAAAUCACAUAGGACUAACACCCCUAUCUACCAAGGGAGAUAGAUUCCAUCUAAGUGCGCACCCUAUUCCUACAAUGAACCUACUGCAGCCAACAUGCACCGCAAGGACCCGAAUGGCUAGGGACCAAGUGUAUGUACAGUCAAACUACAGUAACCUCAUUGUGAAUAGCCGAGGCACCGCAGGUCAAAGGACCAGUCACACUACUGCAACAAUUGAGUAAGUCACUGACGAGUGAGUAGACAUCCAAGUGACUUCUCGCGUUGGUCACGCUCGGUACCCUUGUUCUCUAACAACCACCUGCAUAUUCGCUUCAGUGUCCCCACACUGUCGACUCGAGACUCGUCUACCCAAAAGGGAAGCGACCUAUGCACCAAUCUCACUGGAUCAAUCACCGUCCCCGUGAUGAUCCAUUGAUCGGGAGCAUUUAGGAAUUAAUCACCAAUGACACAUGUCUCAAAUUCUCAACACUUGAGAAUAUAUGUCAUCAUCUUAUUAAUUCCUUGGACGAUUCAUGGACACAUACACAACAUGAAUGGAAAUAAAAACCCAAAGUUAUUCAUAAUAUUUUAAAGUCAAAUACAAAAUUAUGUCCUAGAAAGAAUACAUGUGUCGGCCUGGUUGGCUUCUAGGGCAUACAUCUAACAAUCUCCCACUUGCACUAAAGCCAAUCAGCCAUAUACCUAAGCCCCAUCUUCUCAAGGUGGACUUCAGUCUUCUACUGGCUAAGUGGUUUAAUCAAUGGGUCUGCCACGUUAUCCGUGGAGUCUACUCUCUGCAUCUCGAUUUAUUUCUGUCGAGAUAGUCGUGUAUAAUAUGAAACCACCGCUCUAUAUGCUUGAACUUCUGAUGAGACCUGGGCUCCUUAGCUAAGGCUAUGGCGCCAUUUUUGUCGCAAUAGAGUGGUAUGGCAUCCGAUGACAUCACACUUAAUUCCAUGACAAACUUCAUGUAUCAGAAGACCUACAUCAAAUGCGGCGAUAUACUCUGCUUCCAUAGUAGAGUCAGCAAUAAUUGGUUGUUUGGAACUCUUCCAAUACAUCAAACCACUAUCGCAUAAGAACACACAUCCGACGUAGACUUUCUAUCGUCAACAUCAGACAUAAAGUCUGAAUCAGUAUAUCCUUUUACUUUCAACUCUUUUUCUCCAAAGAUCAAGAACAUAUCCUUAGUGCUUCCCAAGUACUUGAGUAUGUUCUUCACAGCAAUCCAGUGCUCAUCGCCUGGAUUAGAUUGAUAUCUACUUGUGACACUCACAGCAAGCUCGAUAUCAGGUCGUGUACACAGCAUGGUGUAUAUAAGACUCCCUAAAGCUGAGGCAAUAAGGGAUCUUACUCAUACGUUGAAUCUCUUCAAAUGUAUUGGGGCACAUUUUCUUAGAGAGAUAAAUUCCAUGUGUAAGAGGUAAAAGUCCUAUUUUGGAGUUUUUUAUGCCGAACCUCUUCAGCAUCUCCUCUAUGUACAUUUUCUGUGAGAGGCCCAGCAUCCUUUUAGAUCUAUCUCUAUAGACCUUUAUCCCCAAAAUAUAGGAUGCUUCUCCUAGAUCUUUUAUGGAGAAUUCUUUAGACAACCGUAUUUUAACUGAAGUCAGCAUUGGAAUGUCAAUCCCAAUUAAGAGAAUGUCAUCCACGUACAAUACGAGGAAUGUGACAGCUCUCCCACUGACCUUUUUAUAAACACAUGGCUCCUCCUCAUUCUUAACGAAAUCAAACGAUUUAAUCACGUUAUCGAAACGAGUAUUCCAAGUCCGAGAUGCUUGCUUAAGUCCAUAAAUGGACCGUUGCAACUUGCAUACUUUGUGACUUUCGUCACCGGAAGUGAAACCCAAAGGCUGCUCCAUAUAGAUAUCUUCUUCAAGAUAUCCAUUUAGAAAUGCAGUUUUCACAUCCAUUUGCCACAUCUCAUAAUCAUAGUAUGCUGCAAGGGCAAGCAGUGUUCAAAUGGAUUUAAGCAUGGCCACAGGUGAAAGGGUCUCCUGAUAGUCAAUGCCUUCGCGUUGACUAUAACCUUUUGCAACCAGCCUUGCUUUAUAGGUCUCUAUCUUUCCAUCCGAACCUAUCUUUCUUUUAUAGAUCCAUUUACACCCAAUAGGUACUAUACCUUCUGGUGGGUCUACCAAAAUUCAAACCUGGUUGGAAUGCAUUGAGUCAAUUUCUGACUUCAUGGCAUCCAGCCAUUUCUCGGAAUCGAUGUCAGACAUCGCCUGGUUGUAGGUUUUGGGAUCAUCUCCAUGUUCCCUAUCUCCCAUGGGGAACAUUUCCUCUACUACCUCUAUAACGAUACCUAAGUAUCUUUUAGUGGGAUGGGAGAUUCUACUCGACCUACGAAGUGGAGGAGGUACAACAUGUACUGGCUCAGCUUGAAUAGGUUCUGUAGGUUUGAUGACUCGUUGCUCUUUAGAGACUCUCUCUUCGAGCUCAAUUUUUCUCCCACUAGCUUCUUGAAUAAACUGUUUUUCCAAGAAAAUAGCAUGUUUGCUCACAACUAUAUUGUGCUUCUCUGGGAUAUAAAAAUAGUAACCUAAAGUUUCUUUAGGAUAUCCAAUAAAACGAGCCCUCUCAGACCUAGCCUCUAACUUGUCCACCUGUAGUCGCUUAACAUAGGCCGGACAUCUCCAAAUCUUGAUAUGACCAAGGCUUGGUUUCAUACCAUGCCACAUCUCAUAAGUCGUAGUAGGAACGGUUUUAGAGGGAACUCUAUUUAACAAAUAAGCUGCGGUAAGCAAAAUAUGUCCCCAAAGAAAUAAAGGAAGAUCAGUGAAGCUCACCAUAGAUCGAACCAUAUCCAAUAAGGUUCGGUUUCUCCGUUCUGACACACCGUUGAGUUGAGGUGUUCCCGGAGGAGUCCACUGUGAGACUAUGCCGUUUUCUUUAAGAUAAUUUAGAAAUUCUCCACUAAGGUAUUCUCCUCCUCGAUCUGAUCGAAGAACCUUAAUGGAUUUUUCAGUUUGCUUUUCUACUUCAUAUCUGAAUUCUUUGAACUUUUCAAAAGCCUCAGAUUUGUGUUUCUAAGAUACACAUACCCAUAUCGAGAAUAAUCAUCGGUAAAGGUUAUGAAGUAGAGAUAACCACCCCUAGCAUGCACAUCAAAUGGCCCACACACAUCAGUGUGUAUUAAGGAAAGUAUCUCAGUGGCCCUUUCCCCUUGUCCUACAAAGGGUAAUUUAGUCAAUUUUCCUUGAAGACAAGAUUCACAAACUGGAUAAGACUCUGAAGUCAAUAAGCCGAGAAGCCCAUCUUUAUCCAAUUUAUUGAUCCUUUCUUCUUCAAUAUGACCAAGCCUGAGGUGCCACAUAUACUUUAGGUUCAUCUCAUCUCUAGGUCUCUUAGACCCAACAGCAGUCACUACUUGCUCAGAAAUAUUUAUAGAUACAUCCAUAUGUAAAUGAUAAAGACUGUCAAUUAUAAAACCACAGCCAAUAAUUUUAUUUCUAAAAUAAAUUAUGCAGUAGUUUUUGUCAAAAUUAAACCAUCCUAUGCAGAAAUCAAAUUUCUGCUAGCAGGAGGUACAUAAUUGCAGUCUUUAAGUAACAAAUCCUGACGGUAGUCGCAAAGGAGAGGUGUCAGCAGCCACAGUAGCAACUCUUGCUCUGUUGCCUAUCCGUAGGGUCACAUCACCUUCCCUAAGCCCUCUACUUUCUCUUUCUGGAAGUAGAGGAAACCGUUAGUUUCUAUUACGAGCAAGUCUGACAUACCUUCCGAAGGUGUGUCCUUCCUCUUAUUCUUUAAGCUCUCCAGGUAGACAGGACAGUUCCUCUUCCAAUGGCCGUCAACAUUGCAGUGGAAACAUUUUCCUUUGUCGGCGGCCUUAUUCUUAGAAGCUUCCUUCUUUGGCUUGUUCUCCGUCUUUUGUUUCUUCGCGGGUUUCUUCUUCCAAUUAGACUUUCUUUUGGAAGAGGAAGCUCGCUCCACAGCGAGAACCGUGCCUUUUGAACUUUUCAAAGUCCCCUCUAUUAUUGCCAACAUGUUCAAUAACUCUGCAUUGGUGCAGUCAAUUUUAUUCAUAUGGUAGUUUACAAUAAACUGUUCAUAUGAUACAGGAAGGGAGCAGGAUCAGAUCAACUUGCAAUUCCUUAUCCAUUUUACGCCAAGCUUCUCAAGCUCCUCGAGGUCUAUGAUCAUUGUCAAACAAUGAUCAUGAACAGACUGCCCUUCUGUUAGUUAUUGGACGGUUUGGCAACGUGAGGUUUACCUGGUCGAGAACAAUGCAGAGUUUAUUGGAAUUUAAAACUAUUUUUAAAUUCCUUAGCCAGUCUUUAUAAUUAAUUUCAGUUAAGGAUUUUAUGUCGAGAACAUGAGAGAGAUAAUUGGAAGCAGUCAUUUACUUUGCAAAGAGUAAAGAUUCAAGUUAGAUAUUUGUAUUUGUUUUGAAAAAUUGUUUUAGGGAUUUUAAAAACAAAUUUAACCUCCCACUAUUUUCUCGAGUCUCUUACACUCCUCGGGUAGAGAAACGAAAACCCAACACGACAAGAGGUUUCAAGUGGGUACUGCGGUCCCACCAAUUUAAUGUACCACCUCACCUAACAGUUAUUGGUGAUAUGCAAACCGAUGAGUGGACAACUCUUGUCCAAUGCUUCUCAAGCAAAUUGCAGUGAUCGGUCUCUAAGUCCUGUAGGCCUCACCUGACAGUUAUUGGCCUCAUUCCUUAGUUAAGUCAGACCCACCGUUCAAACGCGUAAGCAAAGCCGUCAUUGGGUCCCUCACCUGACAGUUAUUGGGCCCAACCCCAUCUUUACUCCGCAGCAUCUCAUGCUAAUAGAGUGGUUGCGAAUUCCCGAUGCAACUGACCACUGUAACCAGCCGUGCCAAUCAACACCAUAAAAGCGCCCGCACUUCUACAACGGCGGAAGACCGCUCGACUUAAUAUUUAUGAGGAGGUUAAUAUUUAGGUCUCAAAAAAUAUUUUAUUUAUUUACAUCUAAUGCAAAUAAAAUAAAAAAUCAAUCCGCGCAAACAAGCAUAAUUAAACUGGUGAUGAUCAUGGAUCUUAGAAGUGGAUUCGAACUCGAGCCACUGAGUCGGAAUCGGGGUCUUCGGGUCAUAAUUACAAGCACACACACGUCAUUGGUUUGAUUGUCUUCAACUUCUUGAUUCGAUCUGAAGCUUCAACUUGAUCCGAUCCUUAUCAACACCUUGAUCCGACCGCCAUCAAGUAUUCGUCACUAUCCGGGCCUUGCGAACUUUUAGGCUUGCAACCGAUCAACCAAUGACGUGCAACCAUACAUUAUACAACCCAAUAAUAAAAAUGAAAUAAAAUUUAAUUACAUUUGAUAACUUUUAUCUCUAACCUAUUGAGACAUGCAGGUCUCCAAAUAAAUCGGCUUGUGCACGCAGGCACAAAAAUAGCCAUCUCUAAUACAAAGUCCUUAAUUUAAACAAAUUUAAAAUUACAGGAUUCUGCAUACACAUCAUACAUCACAUGUCGAAAUAUAAAUAGGUCGCUAUCCAUGAUCAUCACCGAUAUGUAUCUCAUACAUCACAUAUAAAUAAAAAAUUUUGGGUAUUUUAAUUAACCGUUAAUCGAUAAUUCGAAAAAUAAUAGUGACUAAUCACUAAAACAAUUAAUCUAAUUAAUCGUUUAUAAUCUUGAUCAAAAAUUUAAUCGUCAAAAAUAACAACUUGAUCUCAUCAAGAUUUGAUCUAAUCAAAUUAGAUUUUUCUUUUUCUUUUAUUUAAAAAUUGAAUUGAUCUAAUCAAUUUAGAAAAAAAAAAAAAAAUUUUAAAAAAAAGCAAAAAAAAUUUUUUGACGUCCAUACGGACGCUACAGUAGCGUCCGUACGGAUGCUACAGUAAUUGCUACAGUAACCUUUUUUUUUUUUUUUUUUUUUUUUGAAAACGAGAAACCGUGGAUUAAAUUGUUCGAUCAAUUUGAUUUUACGAAUCAUCCAAACAACGAUCUAUAAAUCGUUCGAUCGGCGAAAAACGGUUUAGAAUACCCAAAAUCAUAAUUUUAAUCUUAAAAACAUGAGGAUGGCUCUGAUACCACUGUUAGAAAAUCGCGUACGGUAAAAACGCAGCGGAAAAAGAAAUCAAACAAAUUUGAUUUUAAAACUCUCGAGAUCUAAUCUCAAAACCACGCAAUUAGGAUCCCUCAUGUUCUUUAAGAUUAAAGGAGAAAAGUAAGAUCGAAUCAUUACCUUUUUCGCGGAUAAAUCCUUCCCUCAAUUUGAUGAUCGUGGAAUCGGGUUCUCUUGAAGCCGCACACGCGUCCGGCCUCUAUAGGUAUCCACACGAGGUUCUUGAUUUG